CAGCCGCCGCGGUAAUACGUAGGUGGCAAGCGUUGUCCGGAAUUAUUGGGCGUAAAGGGCUCGCAGGCGGUUUCUUAAGUCUGAUGCGAAAGCCCCCGGCUCAACCGGGGAGGGUCAUUGGAAACUGGGAAACUUGAGUGCAGAAGAGGAGAGUGGAAUUCCACGUGUAGCGGUGAAAUGCGUAGAGAUGUGGAGGAACACCAGUGGCGAAGGCGACUCUCUGGUCUGUAACUGACGCUGAGGAGCGAAAGCGUGGGGAGCGAACAGGAUUAGAUACCCCUGUAGUCCCUGUCUCUUAUAC
rnacentral:rRNA from 1 species